rnacentral:misc_RNA from 1 species
UGCGCCCCUUGGCAUUCCGAGGGGCACACCCGUUUGAGUGUCGUGAAAUUAUCAAAGCCCCCUUUUCUUUGAAGGAGUUUUGGACUUGGAGGUUCAAUGCUUGCCUUUCACUUUUGAAAGUGAGCUCCUCCCAAAUAAAUUAGUGGGGUCCGCUUUGCUGAUCCUUAACGUGAUAAGAUGUUUCUAUGUUUUGGAUUUGGCACUGUCCCUUGGAUGCCUGCUCCUAACCGUCUCACGGACAAUGAUGGUGCUUCGGUCACUACCAUUUAUAUUGGUGGAAGGCUGGACCCACGAAAAUAAAACCUUGACCUCAAAUCGGGU